GAUGAACGCUGGCGGCGUGCCUAAUACAUGCAAGUCGAGCGAACAGAUGAGGAGCUUGCUCCUCUGACGUUAGCGGCGGACGGGUGAGUAACACGUGGAUAACCUACCUAUAAGACUGGGAUAACUUCGGGAAACCGGAGCUAAUACCGGAUAAUAUAUUGAACCGCAUGGUUCAAUAGUGAAAGACGGUUUUGCUGUCACUUAUAGAUGGAUCCGCGCCGCAUUAGCUAGUUGGUAAGGUAACGGCUUACCAAGGCAACGAUGCGUAGCCGACCUGAGAGGGUGAUCGGCCACACUGGAACUGAGACACGGUCCAGACUCCUACGGGAGGCAGCAGUAGGGAAUCUUCCGCAAUGGGCGAAAGCCUGACGGAGCAACGCCGCGUGAGUGAUGAAGGUCUUCGGAUCGUAAAACUCUGUUAUUAGGGAAGAACAAAUGUGUAAGUAACUAUGCACGUCUCGACGGUACCUAAUCAGAAAGCCACGGCUAACUACGU
rnacentral:rRNA from 1 species